GAUUCUGGCUCAGGAUGAACGCUAGCGACAGGCUUAACACAUGCAAGUCGAGGGGCAGCACGGGAGUAGCAAUACAACUGGUGGCGACCGGCGCACGGGUGAGUAACGCGUAUGCAACCUACCUAUCAGAGGGGAAUAACCCGGCGAAAGUCGGACUAAUACCGCAUAAAACAGGGGCACCGCAUGGUGAUAUUUGUUAAAGAAAUUCGCUGAUAGAUGGGCAUGCGUUCCAUUAGGUAGUUGGUGAGGUAACGGCUCACCAAGCCGACGAUGGAUAGGGGAACUGAGAGGUUGGUCCCCCACACUGGUACUGAGACACGGACCAGACUCCUACGGGAGGCAGCAGUGAGGAAUAUUGGUCAAUGGGCGAGAGCCUGAACCAGCCAAGUCGCGUGAAAGGAAGAAGGAUCUAUGGUUCGUAAACUUCUUUUGCAGGGGAAUAAAGUGCAGGACGUGUCCUGUUUUGUAUGUACCCUGAGAAUAAGGAUCGGCUAACUCCGUGCCAGCAGCCGC
rnacentral:rRNA from 1 species